rnacentral:rRNA from 1 species
GCGUGAGUGAAGAAGGGGUUUCGGCUCGUAAAGCUCUGUUGUUGGAGAAGAACGUGCGUGAGAGUAACUGUUCACGCAGUGACGGUAUCCAACCAGAAAGUCACGGCUAACUACGUGCCAGCAGCCGCGGUAAUACGUAGGUGGCAAGCGUUAUCCGGAUUUAUUGGGCGUAAAGCGAGCGCAGGCGGUUGCUUAGGUCUGAUGUGAAAGCCUUCGGCUUAACCGAAGAAGUGCAUCGGAAACCGGGCGACUUGAGUGCAGAAGAGGACAGUGGAACUCCAUGUGUAGCGGUGGAAUGCGUAGAUAUAUGGAAGAACACCAGUGGCGAAGGCGGCUGUCUGGUCUGCAACUGACGCUGAGGCUCGAAAGCAUGGGUAGCGAACAGGAUUAGAUACCCUGGUAGUCCAUGCCGUAAACGAUGAGUGCUAGGUGUUUGGAGGGUUUCCGCCCUUCAGUGCCGGAGCUAACGCAUUAAGCACUCCGCCUGGGGGAGUACGACCGCAAGGUUGAAACUCAA